GAAGCUGGAAUUGCUAGUAAUGGCAGGUCAGCAUACCGCCGUGAAUACGUUCCCGGGCCUUGUACACACCGCCCGUCACACCAUGAGAGUUGGAAAUACCCGAAGCCUGUGAGCUAACUUAAAGAGGCAGCAGUCGAAGGUAGAGCCAAUGAUUGGGGUGAAGUCGUAACAAGGUAUC
rnacentral:rRNA from 1 species